GGCCUUCUCAGGUUGGCGGGGGGCGGGAGAUCCAAAGGCAGGGGACCCUCAGGCACAGCACAAACAGCAUUCUGCCAAAUACGGCGCACAGGAGCUAUUUCCAAAAAACCCAAGGCACUCUGGGGUCAAAGCAGUACACACUGGCGCGGUAAAAGCUCUACAAGGUCCCACCAUAAAGAAAUGAGUUUUAUUUUGCCUCAGUAAGCAUUGUCUAGAGUUUGGAGUGUUUGCUUUGGGAAAGGCUGAGCUGGAAUCCUGGGGCCCUGCAGCUGGCCAGCCGCCAAGCUAUCUCGAAAUCGUCCUCCCUCGUUGGGCAGGUGGAAACCGAGGCACAGAGGGGCAGCUGUUGGGGGCUGCUGGGAAGCCGGGGCUCCUGAUGGGGGCCAGUGGUGGCCCUGUUAUCGCCCCGCUCCCCCAGGGAAAGGGCUAUUGACCGGUACUCACCUGCACGCCCGGGGAUGGCGAGAGCUGGGGCCCAGAGCUGAUGCUGAGAGUGCAGCUCGAUGUAUGGGAGAUGAGAGCCCCGGAGCCCUAGCAUGCUAGCAGGCGGCCCAGCCUCCCCCCGUCACAGUGGGGACCGGCGGUCCGUGGACGCUGAAUGACCAAAGAGCAGAGCCACUGAGGAGCAGGCCCGGGUCUUGAAGACAGGUGGAAGGAAAACGGACUGUCCUUGCACUCGGCACGUCCGGGCACUUUUCCCACGUCGCCGCUUAAUCCUCACCCCGAUUCUGCAGCCCAGCUUCAUGGGCCAGAGAAGUCAAACUCAGAGGGUCAAGUGACUUGUCCAAGACCACCCAGCCCGCCAGGGGCGGAGCUGGGAUUCGCACCCAGACGCGCCCAGUUCCAAAGCGGGUGCAAACCCCCCUGCACUGUGAUACUACUCCCCGGCAGCAGGCAGAAGGGGCGCAGGCGCAGGGCACUGGCCAGGCCGUCCACGGGCACCAGCUCGCCUUUCCUGCCCAGCUCUCUGACCAAGCUCUUGGUGCCCCUCGAGAACAGGGAUGACGUGUUCCUUGAGGGCUAAGAAGAGCGGUGUCAUCCAGGGCUGUGGAUGCGGGGGCCUCGGCGAAGGCUGCCAGCCGGCUGAGCUUCUAACGGAGUGAGGAGUGGGGCGCCCUGGGAAGACUGCUCCUCCUGCCCACAGCUGGGUGCUAGGCCCUCCUGGAGGUGGAAAUCACAGGUGACCACGUGGCCGGGGUGCGGGAAGCAGCAGGAGGCAAAGCAGCGGCCCGCAGACGUUCCUGCGUCGGGCCUGCAGGGGGCGCCGGAGGCACGUCGCACGAGCGCGGGGAGGAGUCGCCGUCGGGCCCUCCAGGAGACGAGGCAUGGCUUUGAACUCUUUUUGUUGCUUGUCUUGGUAGCUGCCUCUGUUCUCUCUCUUUCUUAAAGGACUGUGUUGACACCAUGCAAUCCACACAUUGGAAAUGUACACCUCAGUGGCUUUUUAGUAUAUUCACAGCAUUGUGGAGCCUCCACUGCAGUCAAUCCUAGAACAUUUGUAUCA